UACGUAGGUGGCAAGCGUUGUCCGGAUUUACUGGGCGUAAAGAGCGCGCAGGCGGUCGGAUAAGUCGGAUGUGAAAGCCCCCGGCUCAACUGGGGAGGGUCAUUCGAUACUGUUCGACUCGAAGGCAGGAGAGGGAAGUGGAAUUCCCGGUGUAGUGGUGAAAUGCGUAGAUAUCGGGAGGAACACCAGUGGCGAAGGCGACUUCCUGGCCUGUUCUUGACGCUGAGGCGCGAAAGCUAGGGGAGCAAACGGG
rnacentral:rRNA from 1 species